UGUGCGGUCCUAGGCGGGAUGAGGCCACAGCGCCGGACCCGGCGGUGCGAAUCCUAAUCUCCCCCUCCUGCGCCCAGGCGGGGAGGUAGGAGCCACGCCCUAAUUAACCCCGGGAAUGGUCCCGCUGCAGAUGAGGACACCAUGUUCUCAGCCCCAGAAACCGAAGAGCAUUGGUUGUGGUCUUUGUUGGGAAUGCCCUCGGAAUACGUUAUUAGAAAAAGUGUGAGCUCAAGCAAGAUCAAUUGCUUGCCACUAGCCUGCACAUACCACAUUAUUUCUCUCCUCUGUACCUUUGCCUAAGUCAUUGCCUCUGCCUUGAUACCCACAUACUCUUGGGACUUGAGUAUCGAAACCUUCAGGCCCCUGUCACCACUGCAGCAGUUAAGGUGCUCCUCAGAGCUUCCUAACACAGAAGGCACUCUGACAGCAUGUUGGAAUGUACAUCCCACUACAAUGGGCUCCUCAGGGCAGCUACUCUCCUUAUUAUCCCACUGUGCCCGCACAGCAGUUACAGGCCCUCGGUACGGCUGGGGCUAGCAGAAGGUAAAGGAUGCAUGUCUGUAAGGACGGGAGGACUACUUCUGCUUGGAGUGCCAGAGGAGGCUUCAGAGAGUGAUCUUUUGACCUAGAGGUUGAAGGGAGAGAAGGAAUUUACCAGGUGAGAAAGAAUGGAAGGACAUGCCAGGCGAGGCAACAUCAGGCAUAAAGGGACUCGCGGCCUGACAGUCCAUAGCACUAGAAGAACAGAAGUAUGGCUUAGAUGGAGUAUAUGAAGGAGAGUUGCGGGAUAAGGCAAUACCCCUCUCCAGCUUUGCGUAAGGCACCCUGAAAUUGAUAAACACACUCACAAGUAUCCAGUGGACACUGAUUGAAAGGCCUGUGAAGCUGGCAUAUUCCUCUCUCGAAGACCAAAUGCAGGUACCCUGCACAGUUGCAAAACCAGCCGUUCGGAACCACUAUGUUCAAACCAGCAUGAAACACUUGUUCAAACCAGCGUGACCUUCCGGCAGCCCUCAAGGAACUUUCUAGAGAAGCUGCCGUGUAACCAAGAAUCAGAGAAACUGGCACCUGACUUGGUCAUCAAAUCUAAAGACCACUCUGCAAGUGAAGUUGCCUCCAAGGAAAACAGAUUAAUUGAGAGACAAGGAUGGGAUAGGUGCAUCCCCAACAGAUGAGGGGUCGCUCUGACCUAGGAUGGUAGGCUAACCAUGGUAACAGUAACAAUCAGACUAGAAGGCGAUAUUGUUACAGUAGUGGGUGCUUUAAAUGCUUUCUUACUUACAGGGCAGCCUCAUGUAGUG